GGAACCUGGAAUUCAAACGGCUGGGUAGGAAGCACGCUAGCAGGGGCCUCUGGCCUUGCUGAGGGUCCCUGUUUCCCCUUUUCCUUCCUUUUCACCCAACAAAACCCUGCUUUACUCACCCUUCAAACCAUCUAUGAGCCUAAAUUGUCGUGGUCGUGGAAUGGACAAGGACCCAGUCUUUAGCUGAACUAAGGGAAAGUCCUGCUUUUUGGCGCGCAACAGGGGAGCUCAAGAAACAGGCCUCACUCACGGCAUAUGGAACUAACCACGCCCCUAACUAAGAAGGCACACCUUAGUUGCAGUUAGCACACAAUUAAAGCAACUCUCCAAGUUUUACCUUAAAGUUCAAAAUUGCUAGGAGUUGAAACUACUAGAAAUAUAUUUACAUGCAAGAGUCAAAGAAACUUUGAACUAUUUAUGGCCUUUAAUAAUUAAGUAAGGUAUACUCCUGUGAUCAAGACUUGGAGCAUAUUUGUUUCUCUCUGCCUGGUUCCUCUAGAAAUUGGAAACUAUCAGAACAGAGACCAACUCCGUUUCCCGAUCCCUUUGCAAUCUGCAUUGAACCAUGAGUCAAGUUCUUGAUAAAGGAGUGAAAAUGGUAAGUCUAAAGCAAUGAAAAGCUGCUGUAUUGACUACACAUGCCUUCAUUUCUUCUACCCUGCUUCUUUCAUGCCUGCUUAUCUGAAUGACACCAGGAUGACAUUUAAGGCACAUCUGAAGAUGGGGAAACCACAGCACAGAAUAAGGCUGGGCCCUUGAAUCAAUAAAUGAAGGAGAACUACUCAAGAGAACAAAACCACCAGCAAUAUCCACCUGUAUUUGUCUUUUCAUAAUGUGUGACACAUGUGCUCAUGGAUUAUUGUCCGAAGCAAGACAUGUGACCAAGCCUAACAUCAACUGGGUGAAGAGCUAUAUGUUCCUUUCUCAAGAGGCACUACAAGUGACAUGCCACUGGGCAGGGGGCAGGUCUUUCCUGUGCUGUUCUUGUGAAAGUGAGUAAGUCUCAUGAGAUCUGAAGGCUUUGAAAAACAGGAAUCUCCCUGUACAAGCUCUCUCUUUGCCUGCUGCCAUCCAUGUAAGACGUGACUUGCUCCUUCUUGUCUUCUGCCAUAAUUGUGAGUCUUCCCCAGCCAUGUGGAACUGUCUUGGUUGGAGUCCAGGUAUCUGCAAAUUAAAUAAGCACUUGAAGUGAUAGUAUCUGAGUGUCCGUAGGCAAAUGUUAGGAGAACUGAAUCAGAUGUUCUUUGAAAGAUUUUCAUGGUUCUAAAAUGUUCUGAUUUAAAAUCCACAAAGAAAAAAAGCAUUGAAAAUGAAUCAGCAAACUAGAUGUAAUUAAAGCUUCUUGCAAUUCCAUUAAUAAACUUUUUAGAAUGAAUUACA
ensembl:lncRNA LINC01515 long intergenic non-protein coding RNA 1515